rnacentral:tRNA from 1 species
GGAGAGUUAUCGAAGUGGUCAUAACGAGCCGCACUCGAAAUGCGGUUGUCGGUUUCCGGCACGUGGGUUCGAAUCCCACACUCUCCG